AUCACUGCAAUGGUCACUUUUACAGUUGAAAAAAAAAAUAAACUGGCAACUUUAGCAAGCCACCAAGAAUAAACAAAAACUUUUUUUUCCUGCUAAAAUUUAACAUCUGUCAUAAUUUCAUUUAAUGUCAUUUCAGUGGUUGCUGUGGGCUUGUGUGCUCGGUGGUAAAAUUAGCUCCAUCUCCUGGGUGUAAUUUAAUAAUGAAAAAUGUUCAUGGUCGCCCCCCUGUCAAAACCCAAGACCCCUGUUUGAAAACCACUGUCAUAGAGGAAGAAAGCCCAAGGAUUUGUGUGACAAUGAGAUUUCAAUAUUACCCUCCAGUUUACAUUUACACUGUCUAAAAUGUAGCUCUUCAGAAAGAUAUUAUUUACACGUAAGCCUACUCAUCACCAAAAGAAGCACUGAUUAGGGUAAAUGUAUAAUAAUGACUCGCAAAGCUACAAACUUUGAAAGAUUUUAAGCUUCUCAAGAUGACCAAUGCACAUCUAGUACAUGUGUAGUUAGGUUGCUCCCCGCAACCAUCAAGGUUGAAAAAGUUAAUGGAAGACUAAUUAGAAAGCUGGGUUCCCUGCAUGCUGCCAUGCCUUGUCAUUAUUCAUCCCUGAUUGGAGCGUCUUUGCCAAAGGGUGAGCGCAAUAUGAUUGGAUCCCCUGACUGCUUCAGGGAGGGAUGGUCAGCUUGACAGGAAAAAAAAGAGAAAAAUCUUCCUUACACUAAGGGCUGUACUUCUAUGGCCUGUCUUUCUCCAUAGCACACUAAAGUAGAUUCCAACCUUGAUGCACAUAUCUGAUUCCCCUCCUUUAUAAUCAAGCAUCAUAGCAAAGUACUAUAAUAAUGUAUCCAGAGAAAUAUUGCAGAUUUAUUGAACUACUAAGUUGAGGCAUCUUCUCAAACUGUAUCUUUCUGUCACAAAAAAGUAAACAAUAUAUAUAUAUGGAACAAUACUGAGCUAUUUGUUCACCUACAGUCUAUGUGUAGGUUUUACCAUUAUGAACAGGAAUGAAGAAUUUCACUCAUUCAUCCAUUACAGUUUAUCCAAAUUCUUCCUCUAACAAGGUGAAAGUAAUCAAGGCUAGAAAGUAGCAAUCAUAACUAACAACCACUACAACAUUUUUUCUAUGAAUCCAAGUUCCAUAAGGUUAUGACUACAAGAUGAGACUUUGCCCCCAGCUAUAACCCAUGUGGCUUCAACAACGAUGCGGCAUAUUUUUUUUUCAAUCCCAGGAAUGUCACAUUAUUGUCUAUUCUUAGCUCCGAAUUCACUCAAUAAAAAUUAUGUUAACUACUCAUACGCUUUCGAUGAGUUGCAUUUUAAAGUGUUCACCAUUCGCGUUUCUCAAUCCAACCCGCCCUAAUUGAAGCUUUUAGAUCAGUAUUCAGAUGUGCUGAAGUGCUGUUCGCUCAACUCAACAUGAGGCUAAAGAGGGGCACAAUGCCAGAGGAAGCUGUGCUGCUUCUCUUCAACCUGAAGAGUUGGAGUAGAUUCACUAAGAGACCAGUCCAGGGUGGGCCCUGCCUCCUCCCCCAAACUCAACUCGCUAAGGCUCACCAGCUCACCCGUGACCCUAAUAAGGACAAGCUGUGCAGAAGAUUGAUGGCUGGAUGGAUGGAUUCUGCCCUGGCUGGGCAUGUCCCGGGAGACCGAUGAUGAUUAGGAGACACACACCUGCGCCUCAUCUCCGCUGAUUAACCCUGGUACUUAUAGGACCAGGGGACAACUGGUCUUCGCCAGAUCGUCGCCUCGCAUUCCUCGUUCCCGCACUUCCGAAUUCCUGACUCCAGCCUCCCGUGUUCCGACCAACGCCUGUCUCCCGACCUACCCUCCAGAAAUAUCUCCUCUUGAAAGACUGCAGCAUCAAAGGCAUCAUCAGGAGGACUUCGCUGCCUUUGUUGUCUACAAUGUAGGUUUAGUUCCAGGGUUCACUUUGAGGCAGGCAGACCACAGACGUCCAGGCCCCGUUUGUAAUGCCAUCGUGCCCAUGGAAAAAAAGGUUGAAUGCUACAUCCAGACUGUGACAUCAUGGCUCCAUCAUGACAUGAAUCUUGUGCUGCUUUAAAAGCUACAGGCCACUGCAAUGUCCCACGUUAUGAUUAAGGAGCGUUGGCCACUCGGGGAAUGCUGUGAGAAGCUUCUCAGUUUGACUUUGAUUGACCCUGGGCAGAAGCUCCACCUGAAGCAAGCUGGAGCAUUAUCAUUUCAAAGACAGCCUCAGAAAAGGUUGUCCCUUUGAACAAAACGCCUCCAUCCAUACAUCAAAGCAGAUGCCUGACAUUGGACUCAGUGAAAUGAUGGUUACUACCAAAGACCCAGAAGAAAGUGCUGGACUCAAGAAUUUGAACUUCCAAAGCCGAUCGAUGUUAGCUACUGAAUAAAUCACACAAAGGGCAAUAGGACAGCCAAUGCAGUCACUGGAAUAUUGCCCAAAAGAUGAGCUUCACGUCAUGAGACCAUUUAAGAAAACUGCUAAGAAAAUACUUUGCCCCAUACGCCACCCCUCACUCACCCAGCUGGACAACCGACCGCCACCACACUUCGGAAUCCCUUCCUGGGUUAAACAUCCAGGAAUAUGAUUUGAGACACAUCUUCAAAAAUAAAAGAUCAACAAAGCAGUGGGCCCAGACCCUGUGUCUCCACCCUGCAACAACUUGUUCCAGUCUUUACCCAGAUCUUCAGUAUACCUCUAGAACUGUUUCAAACACAUCACGAUCAUCCCAGUCCCCAGAAUACCUGCAAUCUCAGGUCUGAAUGACUACAGGCCUGUUGCCCUGACAUCUGUGGUCAUGCUGACCUUUGAACUCCUUGUGCUGGACCACCUAAAGAGCAUCAGAGGUCCCCUGCUUGGACCCAUGGCAGUCUGUGUAUGACGCAGUCAUCAUGGGGACUGCACUUAGUCCUAGAACACCUCAACGGCGCGGGGACCUACGUGAGCAUCCUGUUCACGGAUUUCAGUUGUGUUCAGCACCACCAUCCCCAAGCUUCUCUCCUCCAAGAUUCUCCAGUUCAGCAUCUCACCUAUCAUCUGCCAGUGGAUUUACAGCUUCCUGAUAACCAGGACUCAGCAGGUGUGGCUGGGGUACAGACCCUCAACCACACGCACCACCAGUACUGGGGCACACUAUGGCUGUAUCCUCUUCCUGCUGCUCUUCUCUCUCUACAAGUAUGACUGCACCUCAACCCACCAGGCUGUCAAACUCCUGAAAUUUGCAGUUAUUGGCCUCAACAAACAAAGACCACAAGUCUGACAGGAAGUGAAGUGGCAGGAGUUGUGGUGUGGCUGACACAACCUGGACUUGAAUAUGCUCAAAACUAUAGGGAUUGAUUGUGGACCUCAGGAGGCAUCUUUUGCCAUAGCUGCCCCUCAUGCCCAAGUGCCGUGUCAACCGUCAAGACCUUCAAGUUCAUGUGAAUUACAGUCGCUCAGAACCUGAGUGGGAGACCAACCAUCCGUUAAAAGGCCCAGUGAAGGAUGUUCUUCCUGCAGCUUCUGAGGAAACACGGCCUGCAGCAGAAGAUGUUGAGGCAAUUCUACACAGCAGUCAUUAAAACAGUCCUGUGUUCAUCCAUCACAGUCUGGUUUGGAGCUCGCACAAAAAGACAAACUCUUGACUGCGACAGACAAUUUAAACUGAUGAAAUAAUUGACGAUACCCUUACCCACCCAUGAGGACUUGGACGCUGCUGGAACAAAAUCGUUACGUUCACGAAUGAUUCAUUCAGAAGAACAAAUCUUUUUAAUGAACAAACUGUAAUGAAACAGUUUAUGAAAUUAUUGCUUUUUUCAGCAACAGUAUGCACCAGAAUGCAGCAAACUGAAGCUGGAUUUAAUUGGAUGCAGAAAUGCUUUUUUUUUUUUUUUAAAUCUCCCCACCAUUCCUACUUUAAAAUACACACCAACAAAAACACAUAUGGUACUUCAGUGAUUGUGUUGCGUGAACGUGAACCUCAGGUAUGGAUCAUAAAAGGAAUGAGAAAGCACAUAAAUGGUUUUCUAAAAAAAGAACCGAACAAUUUGAUGAACUUACUUUUCGAACAGAUCUUUUGAAGGAACUGAUUUGAUUGAUUCAGUACAUUCAAAAUAACUUCCAUGCCUAUCACUAGUAUGUUAAAAGUCAUUCUGUACUGGUCCCACUAUACAGUUGAACAUCUGAAUCAAUAUGCUUAAGGCAUUACGCAUGAUAUGUUUUACAACUGGUAACCAUAACAAAAUGUUAAGUCAUUCAAUGGUUUUGGCAGAUUUGCACUGCUUAGGCAAAAACAGAAUGGUAAUGACAGGUGAUCUAAAAAAAAAAAAAAAAAAAGAAAAACCUUUGG